rnacentral:rRNA from 1 species
UACGGAGGGGGCUAGCGUUGUUCGGAAUUACUGGGCGUAAAGCGCACGUAGGCGGCUUUGUAAGUUAGAGGUGAAAGCCCAGGGCUCAACCCUGGAAUUGCCUUUAAGACUGCAUCGCUAGAAUUGUGGAGAGGUAAGUGGAAUUCCGAGUGUAGAGGUGAAAUUCGUAGAUAUUCGGAAGAACACCAGUGGCGAAGGCGGCAUCCUGGACCAACACUGACACUGAGGAGCGAAAGCCAGGGGAGCAAACGGG